AUUGAACGCUGGCGGCAGGCCUAACACAUGCAAGUCGAACGAGUGGCGGACAGGUGAGAAAUGUCUGGGAAACUGCCCGAUGGAGGGGGAUAACUACUGGAAACGGUAGAUAAUACACCAUACCACCGCAUGUGCCCAGAGUGGAGUAGCUUGUAGGUGAGGUAACGGCUCACCUAGGCGACGAUCCCUCGCUGGUCUGUGAGGAUGACCAGCCACACUGGAACUGAGACACGGUCCAGACUCCUACGGGAGGCAGCAGUGGGGAAUAUUGCACAAUGGGCGCAAGCCUGAUGCAGCCAUGCCGCGUGUAUGAAGAAGGCCUUCGGGUUGUAAAGUACUUUCAGCGGGGAGGCGUUACCCGCAGAAGAAGCACCGGCUAACUCCGUGCCAGCAGCCGCGGUAAUUC
rnacentral:rRNA from 1 species